GUGUCAGCAGCCGCGGUAAUACGUAGGCAGCGAGCGUUGUUCGGAGUUACUGGGCGUAAAGCGUGCGUAGGCGGCGGCCCAAGUCUGGUGUGAAAUCUCCCGGCUUAACCGGGAGGGUGCGCUAGAAACUGGGUUGCUGGAGUACCGGAGAGGCAGGCGGAAUUCCUGGUGUAGCGGUGAAAUGCGUAGAUAUCAGGAGGAACACCCGUGGUGUAGACGGCCUGCUGGACGGUCACUGACGCUGAGGCACGAAAGCGUGGGGAGCAAACAGGAUUAGAAACCCCCGUAGUCC
rnacentral:rRNA from 1 species